UAAGCCUUUAAAAUGUUGCCCUAGCCUUCAUGCGACCCUAAUUUAAUACGUAGGUUACCAUGCACAACCCAACCAUUGAGUACAAACCACCUUCUAGCCUACUAGUAAUCACUAAUCCAUCACCUUUUUCGGCUUUUCAUGAGCCAUGCAUGGAUCCUCCCCUCCCUCUUUGAAAGGAAAUGACCUUAAUUCAUCAAGGCCAUCCUCAACAAGAUACGGUGAAAGGUCUCCCACAUUAAAGGUAGCAUGCACUCCAUGGUCUCGUCCCAGAUCAACCUUAUAAGUAUUAUCAUUGACAUGUGUCACCACUUUGUAAGGACCUUCAGCUCUUGGCAUCAACUUUUGUUCUUCCUUUUGUUAGCAAAACGUUCUUUCCUCAUAUGCGCCUAAACCACGUCACCAUCUUGUAAGACACGUGGUUUCCUAUGCAUGUUGGAAUUAUGUUUGUACACGUCAUACACAGCUUCAAUCUUCACACAAACUUGUUGGUGUAGUUACAUCAUGGCCUUCAAAUUGUCAUUUGCAUCCUUGUGAACCAAUUCACCAUUUGGAAAUGGAAUGAAAUACAAAGGCUUGUAAGGAUUCACACCAUACACCACUUACGUAGGCUUAUAAGGACCUUCAGCUUUUGGCAUCAACUUUUGUUUGGAAAACGUUCUUUCCUCAUAUGCACCAACACCAAAUCACCAUCUUGAAAGACACGAGGUUUCCUAUACAUGUUGGAAUUCUGUUUGUACACGUCAAUCACGGCUUCAAUCUUCACACUAGCUUGUUGGUGUAGUUUCGUCAUGGCCUUCAACUUGUCAUUAGCAUCCUUGUGAACCAAUUCAUCGUUUGGAAAUGGAAUAAUAUACAAAGGCUCGUAAGGAUUCACACCAUACACCACUUACAAAGGCUUGUAAGGACCUUCAGCUCUUGGCAUCAACUCUUGUUCAAAGUGAACAAAGGUUAGUUUGAUUAAAAUUUCAUCUAUCUCUUUUUUCCAUGCAUAAUUGGCUUAUAUGAAGCCUUUAUAACAAAGUUGGUGGUUACUAGCCACCCAACCAACUACUCAGUAAAACUAAUAAUGGAAAUUAAAGAAACUCAUGAAACCACACAAAAAAACGUCUGACACACUGAUGAAUGAAAAAAGUGUCCAUGCUCCAUUAAGGAGCAAAAAGAAGCAUUAAAGUGUAAUCCAAAUCCACCAAAGAGUAUCAACAAUGGCUAGAAGGCUUGACGAAGCAAAAAGUAACAGUUUUGAGCACUUAUUAAGCCUUUAAAAUGUUGCCCUAGCCUUCAUGCGACCCUAAUUUAAUACGUAGGUUACCAUGCACAACCCAACCAUUGAGUACAAACCACCUUCUGGCCUACUAGUAAUCACUAAUCCAUCACAUUUUUCGGCUUUUCAUGAGCCAUGCAUGGAUCCUCCCCUCCCUCUUUGAAAGGAAAUGACCUUAAUUCAUCAAGGCCAUCCUCAACANGUCUGGGGGUGACUGUGGUGUUCAACAUGCCUAAAACUUACCCAAUCCCCAAACAACGAGCCAUCGUCGUAACAAAGCGUGAAAUACUAUGGGAGUAUUUCUAGAUCCAACUUGGUUGUAGAAAACCCUCAUUCAAGUGUUGCCUCUUGAUUAUUCUUUUAGUAAUAAUAUAUCUGUCUUGAUUAUUUAUUCCUACUUUAUUGCUUAAUAGAAUUCUAUGUCUGUCAUAAAGAGAUAUCCCUUGUUUCAUAUCUCCUGAUUUAAUUCAGAGGAUUUACUAUCCUCUUUUCCUAAUCAUUUUAGAUCGAAAUGUCUCCAAAGAAAGGACCCAGCUCAAAGAACAACAACCCUCCGUCACCACCUCCUUCUCA
rnacentral:lncRNA from 1 species